rnacentral:rRNA from 1 species
CUCAGAGUGAACGCUAGCGGCGUGGUUAAGACAUGCAAGUCGAACGAUGAAGCCCAGCUUGCUGGGCGGAUUAGUGGCAUACGGGUGCGUAACACGUGAGCAACCUGCCUUGAAGUGGGGAAUAGCCCGGGGAAACCCGGAUUAAUACCGCAUGUGGUCUCUUUUCGCAUGAAAAGACGACUAAAGUUUGUAAUGACUCUUCAAGAGGGGCUCGCGGCCUAUCAGCUUGUUGGUGAGGUAAAGGCUCACCAAGGCAAAGACGGGUAGCUGGUCUGAGAGGAUGAUCAGCCACACUGGAACUGAGAUACGGUCCAGACACCUACGGGUGGCAGCAGUUUCGAAUCAUUCACAAUGGGGGAAACCCUGAUGGUGCAACGCCGCGUGGAGGAUGACGGCCUUCGGGUUGUAAACUCCUGUCACCAAGGAACAAACGGCAGGUUUAUAGCCUGUCCUGAGUUAACUUGGAGAGGAAGAGGUGGCUAACUCCGUGCCAGCAGCCGCGGUAAUACGGAGACCUCGAGCGUUACUCGGAUUCACUGGGCGUAAAGAGUAUGUAGGCUGUUUGGUAUGUCAGGUGUGAAAGCCCGAAGCUCAACUUCGGAAUUGCGCCUGAAACUACCGGACUUGAGGCCUGGAGAGGGGAGUGGAAUUCCUGGUGUAGCGGUGAAAUGCGUAGAUCUCAGGAGGAACACCAAUGGCGAAGGCAGCUCCCUGGACAGGUUCUGACGCUGAGAUACGAAAGCGUGGGUAGCGAAAGGGAUUAGAUACCCCUGUAGUCCACGCCGUAAGCGUUGUACACUAGGUUUCGGAGGGCCUACCCCUUCGGAGCUCAAGCUAACGCGAUAAGUGUACCGCCUGAGGACUACGGCCGCAAGGCUAAAACUCAAAGGAAUUGACGGGGGCCCGCACAAGCGGUGGAGCAUGUGGCUAAUUCGAUGCAACGCGAAGAACCUUACUAGGCUUGGCAUGAACCGGACGAUUUUCGGAACGGAUUUCUCCCUUCGGGGCCGGUCACAGGUGCUGCAUGGCUGUCGUCAGCUC